rnacentral:rRNA from 1 species
GACAGAGGUGCCGAGCGUUAGGCGGAAUCACUGGGCUUAAAGCGUGUGUAGGCGGGCGGGCAAGUACCUUGUGAAAUCCCACGGCUCAACCGUGGAACUGCUGGGUAUACUGCUCGGCUUGAGCCAAUCAGGGGCGAGCGGAACAGACGGUGGAGCGGUGAAAUGCGUAGAUAUCGGGAGGAACACCUGUGGCGAAAGCGGCGCACUGGACCACAACUGACGCUGAGGCGCGAAAGCUAGGGGAGCAAACAGG